UGCUUCCUCUGGUCGUGUGGUUGAAACAGAGUUGCAAAGCAGACUAUUACAACAAGCAUUCAGUAUAAUUAGAGCAACCGUGUCAGAGAAAACAUACUGCUGGACUGAACGUGCACAGGGCUCCUUGGGUCAGUGCUGCGUGGGAUUUGACUGCAGAGAUUACUGACAACACAGGCUGAAUGGGAUGAAUAUGAUGUGGAUGACCCCCCGGUCUAGAAGGUACGGGUGCCUAUGGAGCCAGACGCCACAGUCGACUCUCAGUUCAGACCUCCUGACCCGUGACUCUCGCCUAAAUCCACUUCAGUCCAGUGAAUCAGAUUUCUGAAGAAAAAACAAGAAACCGAAACCAGGCUCAAAGCUACAUCUGGCUCUCUCCGGACUUCCCUCCCAGGCCAGAACAAUGGCGGGCCCAUGAGCCCAGCUUCCCCACAGGCCCCAGCGAGAGGAGGCCGGGGGCUGGGUACUGAGGGAGCCGCUCAGCAUGCUGAAAUAUGGAGGCGACAGAUAAGGUGGCAGCAGCACAGAGAGGCCCUCUCCCAUGGGCCCAAGGGGAAAUUUGCAGUUAUUAAGAGGAAGAUGAGAGAGAUUAAAUGGCUUUUGUACUCAUUUUCACAGACUUUUCUUUUUUAUUAUUUGGGCUGCCUUCAUCUGAGAGAUGAAAGAAGUGGUAAAUGACUUUUUUGCUUCAUUCAG